rnacentral:rRNA from 1 species
AUUGAACGCUGGCGGCAUGCCUUACACAUGCAAGUCGAACGGCAGCACGGGAGCAAUCCUGGUGGCGAGUGGCGAACGGGUGAGUAAUGUAUCGGAACGUGCCCAGUCGUGGGGGAUAACGUAGCGAAAGCUACGCUAAUACUGCAUACGAUCUAUGGAUGAAAGCGGGGGAUCGCAAGACCUCGCGCGAUUGGAGCGGCCGAUAUCAGAUUAGGUAGUUGGUGGGGUAAAGGCUCACCAAGCCGACGAUCUGUAGCUGGUCUGAGAGGACGACCAGCCACACUGGGACUGAGACACGGCCCAGACUCCUACGGGAGGCAGCAGUGGGGAAUUUUGGACAAUGGGCGCAAGCCUGAUCCAGCAAUGCCGCGUGCAGGAUGAAGGCCUUCGGGUUGUAAACUGCUUUUGUACGGAGCGAAAAGGCUCUCUCUAAUACAGGGGGCUCAUGACGGUACCGUAAGAAUAAGCACCGGCUAACUACGUGCCAGCCGCCGCGGUAACAC